AAAAGUAAUAAAAUAAACCAAAAACAAUUAUUUUCGUUGUGGAGGAUCUAUAUAGAACGCUAUGAGCAAAUCGCAUCGGGAUCACAAAAUUGUUAUCAUCGGCGCCGGAGCAUCGGGUGUUGCCUGCGCUACCAAGCUCCUGGAAUAUGGCUUCCAGAAUGUGCUGAUCGUUGAGGCCGAGUCGCGUCUGGGCGGUCGCAUACACACGAUACCCUUUGGCGAGAACGUGAUCGAUCUGGGCGCCCAAUGGUGCCACGGCGAGCAGGAUAACAUUGUCUACGAGCUGGCCAGCCAGCAAGAUCUGCUGGAGUCCACGGGACCCGUCUACGAGAACUAUCAGUGUGUGCGCAGCAAUCGCGAAGUCUUGCCGGACAACGUCGCCAGCCGGCUGAAGGCGAUUGUGGGUGACUCGCUGGUCACACGGCAGCUGGAGCUGCAGCACUGCAGCGGCUCACUGGGCAGCUAUCUGUCGAGCAAGUUCUAUGAGAUGCUGCGCCGGCCGGAGAAUGCCGACAUUGAUCCGGUCAUUGCGGGCGAGUUCUUUGAUAAUUAUCAAAAAUUCGAGAACUCUGUGGAGGCAUCCGACACUCUGGAGGAGGUGUCCGGGCGCGGCUAUCUGGACUAUUGGGAGUGCGAGGGCGACAUUCUGCUUAACUGGAAGGACAAGGGCUUUGUCGAGCUGUUGCGUCUGCUAACGCGCAGUCGCGAGCUGCAGACGAGCUCGGAUCUGGGCAUCCUCGAGCAGCGGGUGCUCUUUAAUCGGCGCGUCACCAAAAUCAAUUGGAAUCGCAAUGAUGCUCGGGUCGAGCUGCAGCUGAACAACGGCGAAUCCUGCCUGGCAGAUCAUGUGAUAGUCACCGUUUCGCUGGGCGUCCUUAAGGAGCAGCAUUUGCAGCUGUUCGAGCCGCAGCUGCCGGUGGCCAAGCAACGUGCUAUCCAGGGAUUGGCCUUUGGCACCGUCAACAAGCUGUUUGUCGAGUUUCCGGCGGCCUUUUGGCCCGAGGAUUGGACGGGAUUUACGCUGUUGUGGCGUCAGCAGGAUCUGGCCGAUAUACGCAAUACGCCGCUUGCCUGGCUGGAGGAUGUCUUUGGCUUCUAUCGCGUCAGCUAUCAGCCACGCGUCCUCGCCGGCUGGAUCAUAAAUGCCAAUGGCCGGCACAUGGAGUCACUGCAGCCAGCUGAGGUAGUUGCCGGCUGCAUGUAUCUCUUCCGGCGCUUUCUACACUGGCACAUACCCGAGCCGCUCGGCUUUCGCAGCUCCGCCUGGUACACAAAUCCGCAUUUCCGUGGCUCCUACUCCUUUCGCUCCAUGGACACGGAACGCCUGGGCACCGGCGCCAGCGAUCUGGCCCAGCCAUUGACGGUGGUUGCCAUGACGCCGCCUUCGCCGGGACGCAGCAAAAUGCUGGUCCCGCAGCAGAGCCGCUGCGACAAGCCAAUUGUCCAGUUCGCCGGCGAGGCCAGCAGCGAGCAUUACUACUCAACGGUCCACGGUGCCGUGGAGGCCGGUUGGCGUGAGGCCAAGCGAUUGGCGGACUUUUAUGGCCUCAGCGUGGCGCCGGCCAAGUCGCAGCUAUAACAUCAGGAGUCGGCGCGAGCCUAUUUUAAAAACUGGACUUUAAAUGUUGUAUAAGGCUUGUAUCUUCCGAUCUUCUGACCUUCUACUGAUUAUAAUAAGAAACACUAUUAACGCUGUUGUUUAACACUGAAAACACAGCGCAUCUCACAGUCGCUGUCAACUAUCUACAAGGCAUCUCGCAGUCGUGUCUUCGCAACAUACUUCGCUCUGAUUCGGUGUUGGCAUUUGCCUUGGCGCAAAAUGGGCGUUAAGCGCAACACGCCCAGUUUAAAAAGCAACAAAAAAAAAGAGAAAAAAUCAACAAAAAUCAACUAAAAGACAGACUCGGGCUGCAGCUCCAAGACGUAUCUAUAAAUUGAUUCUAAGACGAUUUCAAAACUAGUCUGGCUCUCCGUUACGAUUGAGAUAGAAAAUGGAAACACAUUAAUGAGUUUUGUUUUGAGUUUACAAUGCCAACGAGUGCAUAACUCAGGUGCGACACAUUAACCUUUACCAACCUGCAGAUGCAGAUGCAGAUGAAGAUGCAGAUGAAGUUGAAGUGAGCGGAGCCGGAUACAUGUUAUAUACGCACAGAUCUCGGAGAGAUCAUAUCGGUUGCAGCUUUAAUCAAUUAGCAGCUGCGUCCAAAUGUCAAUUGCCUCCAUUUCAGCUUUAUGACCAAUAAUAUCCAUUAAUAUUGAUAUCGAGUGCGCGCCGGAGGCUUCAGCUUCGGCCCCGGUUCAAAUGCUUUGUGUGCACCACAUUUUUAUCUCUGACUGCGUAUUGUUUCUAGAGAGACUCGGCAUCUCAUGUAUUUUCCCAACUUGAACAUAAAUAUUGCAAAACUAGAAACAGCUCUAAAAAUAUGCAUAACCAACCCAUAGAUACAUAUUUGUAUACGUAAUAAAGAUAUAAGAUAUAAAUAAAGGUCUUCAAAUUGUAAUCUGUGCUUGCAGCUGAGAUAUAUAUUUCCAGCUUUUG